GCAGACCCAUUCCAGCCAAACAGCAGCAGACCCUCCCUCCCAGACCCUCCCACCUCCUGGACAGCAUCCAUUUUACAUUCAUUGUGAAGCUGCAUUCUUAGUGAGCUGUCCAGGAGGUGGGAGGGUCUGGGAGGGAGGGUCUGCUGCUGAUUGGCUGGAAUGUGUCUG
rnacentral:miRNA from 1 species